rnacentral:lncRNA from 1 species
CGGCCGCCGGCUGAUUGACACGGGCGCCGGCCAAACAGGGCCCAAGACGCCUCGGAGCCGCCCUGCGAGGGUUCGGCUGCGGCCACGCUGGCUCUUUAAACUGCUUUCCUCCCGGGAGUGGCGGGCGGCCGCCGAGUGGUUUGCGGCUCCACCAGCUGCCGGCCCCCGGCUGCACGGCCGCAGGCUCAACAGAGCCUGCUCCCGGACUCGCUCCUGCCGCUCCCGGUGCGGGUCGGCGAGCGCGCUGCGCGCCCCCGGGAGCAGGGUCGGAGGAGCAGGGCGCAGGGCCGGAGCGGGAGACGGAGCCGGAGUGCCCGCCGAGAGGAUGGAGCGGCGGCCGCGGGGGCAGCAGCAGCGGCGGCGGCGGCGGCGGCCCCGAAGCACACCUCAAUGAGCGCGGCGCAGGGGCGGCGGGCAGGAAGACGUAAGCAGCCUAACUAUAGCCGGGAGCGGGCGCGGGCGAUGUGACCUCGGCGCGGGGCUGCGGUGGAGCCGCGGGCGGCCGGGCAGCGCGUGCCGGGCUCUGCCACAGGUGAGCCGCUUCCUACGCCGGCGGCUCGGCCGCUUCACCCGACCUCUUCCAUCCUCCCGGGCCAGUGCAUCUGGAGAGGGCGACUCCCCGGGACAGUCUGACGGUCGACGGCCAGCGGUGACGGAGUGGCCCCGCGGUGCCCUCUCCCCGGAGGCCGGGGGAGUCAUGGCUCGCCCUUUCCUCCUCUGCCUCCUGCUCGCUCCGCUGGGCGUGGGCGCGGGUGGCGCCAGCCGCGACUCCCCAGGAUGGUCGGGCCCCGCUCGGGAGAGGACCCUGAGGGGGAGGCAGCACUCGCAGCCGGCGGCUCGGGUCUCCGCCGCCGACCCCUCGGCCGCCUGGAGCCGCCCCGCCGACGGCACCAUCUUGGCGCAGAAGCUGGCCGAGGAGGUGCCGCUGGACUUGGCCUCUUACCUCUACACCGGGGACGCGCGCCAGCUGAGGCGGGCCAACUGCUCCGGCCGCUACGAGCUGGCCGGCCUGCCGGGGAAGUCGCCGGGCCUCGCCGGCUCGCAUCCCGCCCUGCACGGGGCGCUGGACGCGCUGACACACGCCACCAACUUCCUCAGCACGAUGCUGCAGGGCAAUAAGUCUCGGGAGCAGAACUCGCAGCACGACCUGGAGUGGUACCAGGCGCUGGUGAGGAGCCUGCUGGAGGAGCCCAGCGUCUCGCGGGCGGCCAUCACCCUGGGCGCCGAGUCGCCGCCCGCGCCUGGCCCGAAGCUCUUCCUCCAGGCCACGCGCGAGGAGAGCCGCGUGCUGCUCCAGGACCUGUCCUCCUCCGCCCAGCAGCUGGCCAACGCCACGCUGGACUCCGAGUGGUUCCACGGCCUCCGGCGCAAGUGGAGGCCCCACUUCCACCGCCGCGGCUCCAGUCAGGGGCCCCGGGGCCUGGGCCACGGCUGGCGGCGCAGGGACGGGCUCAGCGGGGACAGGAGUCACAUCAAGUGGUCACCGCCGUUCCUGGAGUGUGAGAACGGGAGUUACAGGCCCGGGUGGCUGCUCACUCUUUCCGCUCCCUUCUAUGGGCUGCAGCCUAAUCUGGUCCCCGAGUUCAGGGGUGUCAUGAAAGUUGAUAUAAAUCUUCAGAAAGUGGACAUUGACCAAUGUUCAAGUGAUGGCUGGUUUUCAGGAACUCACAAAUGCCACCUUAACAAUUCAGAGGCAACUUCUGCAAACAGAGACAAAAGGACCCUCCUCCUGGUUGACCAGUGGGAGCUCUCCUAAGCCUCUCUGGCCCAUCUUACUGUGUACUGAGCUUCUCUACAAGAUUUCUGACAGCCAUCAAAGAACAAAAAUUACUCAAGUCUUUGUACUACUUUGAUGUCUUGUGAAAUCUGGCAACAAGAAUACCCCAUGGUGAUCCUAUUAAUUCUGUAAUGUAACUAUUUGUAUUUUAUG